rnacentral:rRNA from 1 species
AUGGGGAGACACAUUUUUCACCCGCCACAUCUUUUUUCUUCUCAGUGUCACCGAUGCCACAUCUUAUCAAACGACACCUCAUAUCCAGCGGCAACACAACUUGCCAUAUACGUGCAACUCAUCUUCAUCGUAUAUGAACUCGCUGAAACUCCGCAACCACGAACGGAAACACAAGGCAUGCAUUCCUUUUUCCACCCGUUGUCGCUUGCAAUUCUCCCCGCCAGUGACGCAUCUCAACUGCAGCAGAAGAUUCACACAUCUGAGCUCUUGGACGCACCUUACAAGAACUCAUGUGCACACCUUGACGAUAGCUCGUAA